rnacentral:rRNA from 1 species
AUGAACGCUGGCGGCGUGCCUAAUACAUGCAAGUCGAGCGAACAGACGAGGAGCUUGCUCCUCUGACGUUAGCGGCGGACGGGUGAGUAACACGUGGAUAACCUACCUAUAAGACUGGGAUAACUUCGGGAAACCGGAGCUAAUACCGGAUAAUAUAUUGAACCGCAUGGUUCAAUAGUGAAAGACGGUUUUGCUGUCACUUAUAGAUGGAUCCGCGCCGCAUUAGCUAGUUGGUAAGGUAACGGCUUACCAAGGCAACGAUGCGUAGCCGACCUGAGAGGGUGAUCGGCCACACUGGAACUGAGACACGGUCCAGACUCCUACGGGAGGCAGCAGUAGGGAAUCUUCCGCAAUGGGAAAGCCUGACGGAGCAACGCCGCGUGAGUGAUGAAGGUCUUCGGAUCGUAAAACUCUGUUAUUAGGGAAGAACAAAUGUGUAAGUAACUAUGCGCGUCUUGACGGUACCUAAUCAGAAAGCCACGGCUAACUACGUG